rnacentral:tRNA from 1 species
GGUUGUGGCUCAGUGGUAGAGCGCUUGCCUAGCGUGCAUGAGGCACUGGGUUCGUUCCCUGGCACCA